UGCACUGCUUUUCCCGGCUAUCUAGUGCAUACGAUGCAUCUAGUGCACUAUGGAGCGGAGUUUCCCAUUUUCCAAAUAUUAUGCAGUUUCCCAGAUUCAUUCGCGAUUUGUAAAUUAUAAAAUUUGGAAUAAUUAUUGAGUUAACGAGGUGGAGGAGAGGCAUUCGUGACGGCAAUGUAGGUCACAGAAAGUGCAAGCUAGCCAGCUGACUUUUCUGCAUUUCUUGUACAAUCAUUGAUACGCUCGUUUUCAUCUGAUGAUGUAGUCUACACUCUACACCACUUUCCCUCGAUGCGCAACAACUGGGCCAACAGAGAAGGUGAAACCUACCAAUCUCAGAGCUCCCACCCGCCGCCAUUACAGAUUGCAAUUUCACUAGUCACUAUCUCUAGUGAUUGUGAAUCACUUAUAAUCACUGCAGCAAGUAACCAGAUGAUUACAGGUUUACAAAUUGAGUGCUGUAUCAGCGAUAGGUAGGCCUGCUCAUUGCAUAUCAUCGUGUGAUAUUCAAAUUUCAGUAAUUUGUAUUCCCCUAAGUUCAAGGACGUGGUUUGACAACAUGAAACAUCUGCAAUAAAAAAGGAGUCGAUCCUCUUCUGCCCAACUGCUCCACUGCUCCAUGGAAUGUGAAUUUUAUUGUAAUUCAAUUUUGUUGGGUUUUGUGAGAUUUGAUAGCAAAAAUGUCAAUUAAAAUUGAUUUUCCUUGUACAUUCAUUCUUAUAUCGACUCAAUCCCUGUCUGGCAAAAGGUGGUUUAGCUCACUUCGAUUACUUG